AACGAGCAAAAAAAAAGAAUUCACGACAACGAGAAAAUCGUUGCAUGUUACACUCCUCCGGCUUGUGUCAUCCUAUUUUUUGAUUGAAAUUAGUUUCUGGCCCGGAGUGGAUUGUUUCUCUUUGUCGACGAUAGAUUGUUUCUCUUCGUCUCACAAUCAAGAAACCCGACGUCCGUCGUCGGUCUGCAUCAUUACUUCAUUAUGUUUCCUUUGUUUUUCGCGAACAAAACGUAAAGUUAUUUUCUCAUUUAAGCGCUAAUCGUAGCAGACGCCAUAUAGCUUUUGACAAUGAGAAAUGCGAUGUUGUUUCAAACAUCAAAACCACAAUCAGAAAAACAUUUUUAAACCUAACAUUAUAUUCCUAUUAUAAUUAAACCUUUUAGAUAAACACAUAUAAAGACAUUUAAGAAUGUACGAGGAUUUUAUAAAAGAAAAUAAGUGGACACUCUGGGUUGUAUAUGUAUAGUGUAGUACGCAAGUGGUCGCGGUAACGUUCGCGAUUCUUUGUUCUUCUGGGUCGAGCCGUCGCGACAAGAACGGCAGCAUGGUACGGCGACGGCGAGGGGAGAGGUGGAACUGGUGGUAGAGGGCAGAGGGAAGAAGGCAAAAAUGCAGUUUAUAGAGUCCAUUAAUCCAGGCGCACGUUCAAGCUCUCGGUCGCACCGCGCCGCCCGCCCGACCACGUCUGCAUGCAUUAAUUGCAUCCUGGGGCGAUCUCAAGUUCGGAUGCUGCGUCGUCCAAGGUCACCAGGCCAAACAUUGUCUAUUUUAAAUUCUGCGCGGACCAGCUCCAAACCAAACUUUCAAACAAGAAUCAAAAGUUUUAAAACUAACAAAAUUUAGACAAUAUUUUAUAUCAAUAAAACUAUAAUUACAUUCUCUUUUUUGGCUA
rnacentral:lncRNA from 1 species